GACGAACGCUGGCGGCGUGCUUAACACAUGCAAGUCGAACGGAAAGGCCCUGCUUUUGUGGGGUGCUCGAGUGGCGAACGGGUGGGUAACACGUGAGUAACCUGCCCUUGACUUUGGGAUAACUUCAGGAAACUGGGGCUAAUACCGGAUAGGAGCUCCUGCUGCAUGGUGGGGGUUGGAAAGUUUCGGCGGUUGGGGAUGGACUCGCGGCUUAUCAGCUUGUUGGUGGGGUAGUGGCUUACCAAGGCUUUGACGGGUAGCCGGCCUGAGAGGGUGACCGGCCACAUUGGGACUGAGAUACGGCCCAGACUCCUACGGGAGGCAGCAGUGGGGAAUAUUGCACAAUGGGCGGAAGCCUGAUGCAGCAACGCCGCGUGCGGGAUGACGGCCUUCGGGUUGUAAACCGCUUUCGCCUGUGACGAAGCGUGAGUGACGGUAAUGGGUAAGAAGCACCGGCUAACUACGUG
rnacentral:rRNA from 1 species